UACGUAGGCAGCGAGCGUUGUUCGGAGUUACUGGGCGUAAAGCGUGCGUAGGCGGUGUCUUAAGUUUGUUGUGAAAUCUCCCGGCUUAACCGGGAGGGUGCGGCGAAUACUGAGAUGCUGGAGUGCCGGAGAGGUAAGCGGAAUUCCUGGUGUAGCGGUGAAAUGCGUAGAUAUCAGGAGGAACACCUGCGGUGUAGACGGCUACUGGACGGUAACUGACGCUGAGGCACGAAAGCGUGGG
rnacentral:rRNA from 1 species